rnacentral:tRNA from 1 species
GCAGCGACUGGCCGAGAUUCCAGGCGUGCCGCUCCGGUCCGCUCAGUCCGUCGAGGCGCGGACGUUCCACUCGUUCUGCCUGCA